rnacentral:rRNA from 1 species
GACGAACGCUGGCGGCGUGCUUAACACAUGCAAGUCGAACGGAAAGGCCCUGCUUUUGUGGGGUGCUCGAGUGGCGAACGGGUGAGUAACGCGUGAGUAACCUGCCCUUGACUUUGGGAUAACUUCAGGAAACUGGGGCUAAUACCGGAUAGGAGCUCCUGCUGCAUGGUGGGGGUUGGAAAGUUUCGGCGGUUGGGGAUGGACUCGCGGCUUAUCAGCUUGUUGGUGGGGUAGUGGCUUACCAAGGCUUUGACGGGUAGCCGGCCUGAGAGGGUGACCGGCCGCAUUGGGACUGAGAUACGGCCCAGACUCCUACGGGAGGCAGCAGUGGGGAAUAUUGCACAAUGGGCGGAAGCCUGAUGCAGCAACGCCGCGUGCGGGAUGACGGCCUUCGGGUUGUAAACCGCUUUCGCCUGUGACGAAGCGUGAGUGACGGUAAUGGGUAAAGAAGCACCGGCUAACUACGUG